rnacentral:tRNA from 1 species
GGUCUGAUGGUUUAGUGGUAUAAUUCUCCCUUAGGGUGGGAGAGGUCCCGGGUUCAAUUCCCGGUCAGACCC